rnacentral:rRNA from 1 species
UACGGAGGGUGCGAGCGUUGUCCGGAAUCACUGGGCGUAAAGGGCGCGUAGGCGGCUCGUUAAGUGGUCGGUGAAAUCCCGGGGCUCAACUCCGGGCUGCCGAUCAGACUGGCGGGCUCGAGCACGGUAGAGGCGGAUGGAAUUCCCGGUGUAGCGGUGGAAUGCGUAGAUAUCGGGAGGAACACCAGUGGGCGAAAGCGGCUGCUCUAGGGGCGGAUCUGACGCUGAGGCGACGAAAGCGUGGGGAGCAAACCAGG